rnacentral:ribozyme from 14 species
UCGCUUACUUAAUUGGAAUUUCCCUCUUCUCUUCUUUUCUUCUUCUUCUUCUUCUUCUCCUCUUCCUCCUCCCUUUCCUAUUUCGUCGUCUUUUGAUGAA